UACGGGGGGGGCAAGCGUUGUUCGGAAUUACUGGGCGUAAAGGGUGCGUAGGCGGUUCGCUAAGUUGGAUGUGAAAACUAUGGGCUCAACCCAUAGCCUGCAUCCAAUACUGACGAACUAGAGUUCUGGAGGGGGUAGCGGAAUUCCUGGUGUAGCGGUGAAAUGCGUAGAUAUCAGGAGGAACACCGGUGGCGAAGGCGGCUCUCUGGACCACAACUGACGCUGAGGCGCGAAAGCUAGGGGAGCAAACAGG
rnacentral:rRNA from 1 species